UACGUAGGGAGCAAGCGUUGUCCGGAAUCAUUGGGCGUAAAGCGCGCGUAGGUGGCCUCAUAAGUCCGCUGUGAAAGUCAAAGGCUCAACCUUUGAAAGCCGGUGGAUACUGUGAGGCUAGAGUACGGAAGAGGCGAGUGGAAUUCCUGGUGUAGCGGUGGAAUGCGCAGAUAUCAGGAGGAACACCAAUAGCGAAGGCAGCUCGCUGGACGUUACUGACACUGAGGCGCGAAGCGUGGGAGCGAACAGG
rnacentral:rRNA from 1 species